UGAUAAUGUUGAGAUAAUGAGAAGCAAGAUUAUGAGAGGAUUCAAGUAAGGCUUAAGCUUCUUAGAGAGGAACCUCUGAAGCUGCCUCUGCUCCCUUCUGUCUAUGGCAUGGAAUCUGCAGAGAUGUCUUCUCUAGAAAGCUAACAGCAUAUUGAUACUGGAGCUGCUGGGAGGACAAUGAAUGGCAGUUAAGGGAAAAUACUGCAGCUACAAUUCAGACCAGAAGUCUUGAGCCAGUACUUUUUCUUUUCGAAGAAAGGAAAAAACAGCCGCUAGCGCAAAUGGGAACCCGCAAGCUGUAAAGUUAAAGAAAAGUCGACUUCCGUUGUCAUUUGCGACUCCGAGUGCGAAUGAGGAGGCAUCGACCCGGUGUCAGCAGAGGCUCCGUGGAGGAAAGGGAGACCGAUGGAAAUGUGUUUUAAAAGUCAUCUCCAUUGCAACACCGAGCGCAGAAUUUGCCCAAAAAGAGUUUGUGAAGAAGUCUCUUUGUUCAGGAUCCUUUGGAUUUUGUGAAGAAGCAAACACGUUGAAAUGCAAGAAAUAACUUGAAAUUGCAGUAUUUAGUGGCUGAUUCUUCCUGGAGCUUAGUAAGUACCAAAACAAUUAAAGAGGAUAUGUGGAUAUUUGUUUUGCCAAGCUUAUAUUUUCUCACAUUUUGUACCCAAUUUGGAUGAAGACCGUUUAGAGAUUUGAGGAGUUGUUGUCCAUGCUAUUGAUGGAUCCAAGUAUAUCUGCAUGUAAAUAUUGCCAUCUGUAUGUAUGUACAUGAAUAUUCACAGCAGCAUGGGAACUGGCCUGACAGAAAGUUUAAACUUUGCAAUAUGUAGAAAAGAUAAAAAUCAGCAUACCUUAGGUUACCACUGUUGGAAGAGUAGUGGAUGUAUAAUAAAUAAUCCAUAGGUUAAAAGAAGUUUGUGCAAGUGAUUAGGUGAGCAGCUGUGCACAAUAAAUGGAGGAACAGAAUACUCAGUAAUGAAAACUUAGAGGAGGCUGAAGAUAGAAGAUUAAGUAUUUGUCAUGAACUGCCUAUUCAGCUGUAGUCAUAAUACACAUUUUAUUCAUAUUACCUUACUGUUGCAUUAAGUCACUGGCAUUUAUUUUGAAAGCAAGGUAGCAAAUAUUCCUGCAAUUCCUGUGGAAUGAUGUACUAUAUGAAUGGCAAAAUUAGUCUGUUGCAUGUCUUUUUAUGUCAAUAAGCUCAACAAAACCACUUAUUGUGCCUGUCAAAGCAGUGAUAGGAAAUGCUUGCACUUUAUCUCCUUUUAUAACGGACUUGCAUAUGUUUGCUCAACCAGAAUUUCUCCUGCUGAAAAGCUGGAUUUAGAAACUUGAGUAUGGAAGGUUUGGAGCUGGGCUAUACAUCAUCAGAACCUUCAAAUGAUAUAUCAGGAUUUUUUACCUGCUUUGGAGUUACUGUUACAUUUAUUAGCAGUAAACACCAUGUCAUCCUUGUAAUGACUGUGCAGAAGUCAAGUCUUGCAUAAAUUUCCUAUUUGAAAUAGUUAUCCAGUAUACUUGCUUUGCUUUCUGCCUCUGAACGGUUUAGCCCAGAUUUGUGUACGUUUCUUUCUCGUGAGGUAUACAAUAAUUGGAUUUCUACAUAUGAGAACUAUCUUUCAAAACUGUUUCAGAGCAUACUCACAUGACUGAUAUCCUCAUAACCAUCCACCCUGAACUACAUUCAACUUUCCUAAAUGAGAUUUUAUUGGAACUGAUUAUGAUUAGAUAAAUGGGUGACUUCACUAAUGUAUAAUACACUUUUCAAUUAUAGGGUAUGCAUGAUAAUUUACAUUUCUUGUUUGAUAGUAUGAUAUUUAUGUGACAUAUUCUGGAUGAGAUCUGCUGCUGUUUAUAUAAUGGUCUUACUUUUCUCUUAAAUUAAACCUGCUUUCAAGUUCUUUCAA